GAUGAACGCUGGCGGCGUGCUUAACACAUGCAAGUCGAACGGAAAGGCCCAAGCUUGCUUGGGUACUCGAGUGGCGAACGGGUGAGUAACACGUGGGUGAUCUGCCCUGCACUUCGGGAUAAGCCUGGGAAACUGGGUCUAAUACCGGAUAGGACCACAUUUUGGAUGGUGUGGUGGAAAGUUUUUCGGUGUGGGAUGAGCUCGCGGCCUAUCAGCUUGUUGGUGGGGUAAUGGCCUACCAAGGCGUCGACGGGUAGCCGGCCUGAGAGGGUGUACGGCCACAUUGGGACUGAGAUACGGCCCAGACUCCUACGGGAGGCAGCAGUGGGGAAUAUUGAACAAUGGGCGCAAGCCUGAUGCAGCGACGCCGCGUGGGGGAUGACGGCCUUCGGGUUGUAAACUCCUUUCGCUAGGGACGAAGCGCAAGUGACGGUACCUGGAGAAGAAGCACCGGCUAACUACGUG
rnacentral:rRNA from 1 species